rnacentral:tRNA from 1 species
GGUUUGUUAAUUCAGUUGGUAGAAAUUCUCUAUUACAAGGAGAAAGUCAUAGGUUCGAGUCCUAUACAAACCACCA